UACAAAGCCUGUGCCGCACAGGAAACGAAGUCAAAGGCUCCCUUUGUCCCCACCCCCUCCCCCCCAAGAGGAGAAAAUCAGCCCCAGCGAGGAUUUUGGAGCUGGACGGGCUGGCGCGAUCCUGGAGAAUCACCCCCGAAGCCUGCGCUCUCCCAGGGAACGCUUUGCCAGGCUCUGAAGAAGCUACGCAGGCUCGGGAGGAAAAGCAGCAGCGGAAAAGCUGUAUGGAGGAAGCAGCCUCUGUAUGUUCCAGCUGAGAGAAUGCCCACACGGCCGAGACAGCAAGAGCAAUGGAGUAAUGGUCUAGGAAACAGCUGAAGUGAGCCAACCCGGGGUUGCUAUCUGCCUGCAAAGCAGCGAUAAAAGGAGCGCAAGGCCGUCUGGUUCAAUUUUUGGAGGAUCCACAGCUAUAGGGCCCAGACGUAAGCUGAAUGUGCUUCUGAGGUUGCAAAAAUUGGCUGUUUCUUUGACCAUAUUAUUCACCUGCCUAACUUACUGCUAGAAAACUGCUAAGGAAGACAUUCAGAAUUGGAAAAGGAGAAAAAGAUCUUAAGCAGCAUUGAGAGAUAUUUUAGUGGUUAAGAGGAUGACCUAGGAGUUCCCGUCGUGGCGCAGUGGUUAAUGAAUCUGACUAGUAAACCAUGAGGUUGCCGGUUCGAUCCCCGGCCUUGCUCAGUGGGCUAAGGAUCUGGCGUUGCCAUGAGCUGUGGUGUAGGUUACAGACGCACUAGGAUCCCGCAUUGCUGUGGCUACAGCUCCAAUUCGACCCCUAGCGUGGGAACUUCCAUAUGCCGUGGGAGCGGUCCAAGAAAUGGCAAAAAGACAAAGAAAAAAAAAGAGGAUGGCCUUCAUGGUUUCGACAUGGACUUAUUCUCAUGACGGUGCUGAAAGUUAGGACACAAAUGCCGUGGGGUGUGGUCCUUGCCUGCCCUGACGUAGCUUCACAAUCCUGUUGGGGGCAACAAAGCUAACACAGGCAUUUAAAACAGUGGCAAGACGGAGUUCCUGCUGGGGCGCAUCAGGAUCAGCGGCCUCUUUGGAGUCCUGGGACACAGGUUCGAUCCCUGGCCUGACACAGUAGGUUAAGGAUCCAGUGUUGCCACAGCCUCCUGGUGUAGGUUACAACUGUGUCUCAGAUCUGAUCCCUGUCCCAGGAACUCUAUAUGCCAUGGAGCUGCAAAAAAUAAAUGAAUAUGUAAAUAAAUGAAACAGUUCCAAGAGGCCAGGCCAGGCUGUGGAGGAGAGGGUGGAGAAGGCACAGGACAUAGUCCCUUCCCUCCCCGGCCCUAGGGAGUGCCGGGCCCGGGCGUGUCAUUGCUCUGGCCUGGAGUCCUCCUGUGUAUUAAAGGAGUCAAAUGCAAUAAUCUCCUCAAGUUCCUUAGAGCCUUGAUCUUCAGAAUCUAAUUACCACCACCAGUCAGUCUAGUGUAUAACCCAGCAGUAAAGGGAGGGAGGCAGACGGAGGAUGCUGUGAGACCCUGGGUUCGGGAAGGGCUUGUGUCUCCAUGAACUGGACGGCUGCAGGAGGAACCUCUGCAGAGCUGGGGCUCAGGCUGGACUUGGAAAAGCCGGCAGGAGACCUAGCGAUAAUCGCUAAUCCUGUGAUCGCAAGGUGUGUUUGGAGAACAGGGAGGAGGCCAAACGGUCCCAGCGGUCUGGGAGCGAGAGGGAAGCUGGAAAGUUGGGCUGGGGCCAGCUGGCGGGUGUAGAACUCUGGCCUAAGGAGCUAGAGGCUGAGCUUGUGGGUAAAAGGCGGCCAUGGCAGGGCUGAUGGAACAGAGGGCAGGCUGCUCUAGGUGUGUUUCUGGGACAGCGUGGAAGCAGCCCAGCCCUCAUUUUUGGCACAGGUCCUGUCCCCUCCUUGGCGUCAGAAGCUUCAACUCGCUGCUUUUCCCCACUUGGCGGUGCUCAGUCAACCACCGGCAGAGCACUGGGUCAGAAGACAGGGCAAAAGACAAGGAAGUGAUAAACGGGGACAGUGGUAAUUGCAUUAAAUUUUUUUUUAUUUUGCUAAAAUAUACAUAGCAUAACAUUUAAAUUGUAGCCACCUUUAGGGAUACAAUUUGCUGGUAAGUCCACUCACAUUGUUAUACCACGGUCACCACCAUCCCUUUCCAGAACUUUUUUUAUCAUCUCAAAUAGAAACUCUGUACCUGUUAAACAACAACUCCCCAUUCCUCCCUCCUCCCCUGCCCCUGGGAACCACAUUCUACUUGCUGUUUCUAUCAAUUUGCCUGUUUUAGGUACUGCAGAUGAGUAAAUUCAUACAAUGUUU
rnacentral:lncRNA from 1 species